AACAAACGCUGGCGGCGUGCCUAAUACAUGCAAGUCGAACGGGGAAAGCUUUCGGGUGAGUACUAGUGGCGCACGGGUGAGGAACGCGUGGAUAAUCUGCCUUAGAGUGGGGGAUAACUAGUCGAAAGAUUAGCUAAUACCGCAUAAGACCACGAGAGCUGCGGCUUUUGAGGUCAAAGGUUUUUCGCUCUAAGAUGAGUCCGCGUAAGAUUAGCUAGUUGGUGAGGUAACGGCUCACCAAGGCGACGAUCUUUAACUGGUCUGAGAGGAUGAUCAGUCACACUGGAACUGAGACACGGUCCAGACUCCUACGGGAGGCAGCAGUAGGGAAUAGUGCACAAUGGAGGAAACUCUGAUGCAGCGACGCCGCGUGAGUGAUGAAGGCCUUCGGGUCGUAAAGCUCUGUCGCAGGGGAAUAACACAAUGAAGGUACCCUGUAAGAAAGAAUCGGCUAACUUCGUG
rnacentral:rRNA from 1 species